UGUCAGAAGAUAUUCUGUUCAGCAGUACUCAUUGCUGGAGUUGCCCCAAAAGAAGCGGCAAGUGAAUUCGUGCAAGGGACUGCCCUAAACCCUCCUAAAAUGAGGCAGGUUGGGAUUCCAAAGAAAGAAGCACUAAAUGUCAAGGUAUUCAGUCCAAGUCCUCACUCCAGACGUAAGAAAAAGGAUGGUCUAUCUAGAAUUGUUUGAUUUUUAACGCUUCAUGACCACCAUGUUAAAACAGCUGAAAGUUUCCAGAACCCCUAUAACAUCAGAAGGGUUAUACCCUGAAGAUGAAGAGAGAAGAAAAUAAUAAUAGGAAAAGACAUAGCCCCAAUAUACUGUCCUCCACUGAAAAAUGAUGAAAUCGUGAAAGAAUAGAUCUUAUCUCCUCCCCACUCCAAAUUCCUGGGACUGAACCUACUGUGUAGCUGCUGAGUGAAGAAAGAUGACAUAUGAUUUGAAUUGAAUUUUAUUUGGAGGUUUAAACAUACGGUUACAUUGAAAUAAAUAGCAGAAAUUGUGUAUGGGGUGUCUAGAAAAUCAUGUCAUUAAAGAAUUU